AGCAGCCGCGGUAAUUCCAGCUCCAAUAGCGUAUAUUAAAGUUGUUGCAGUUAAAAAGCUCGUAGUUGAACUUCAGGCCUGGCUGGACGGUCCGCCCUCUGGGUGAGCACUGUCUGUGGUCGGGUCCUACCUUCUGGCGAAGCGGCAUGGCCUUAACCGGCCGUGGCGGGGAACCAGGACUUUUACUGUGAAAAAAUUGAGUGUUCAAAGCAGGCACGCGCUUGAAUACAUUAGCAUGGAAUAAUGGAAUAGGACAAUGGUUCUAUUUGUUGGUUUCUAGGACCGUUGUAAUGAUUAAUAGGGAUAGUUGGGGGCAUUAGUAUUCAAUUGUCAGAGGUGAAAUUCUUGGAUUUAUUGAAGACUAACUACUGCGAAAGCAUUUGCCAAGGAUGUUUUCAUUAAUCAAGAACGAA
rnacentral:rRNA from 1 species